rnacentral:rRNA from 1 species
UACGGGGGGUGCGAGCGUUGUCCGGAAUCACUGGGCUUAAAGGGCGCGUAGCGGGCGGCCAAGUCAGGGGUGAAAGCCCCCAGCUCAACUGGGGAAGUGCCUUUGAUACUGGUCAUCUCGAGGGAGAUAGGGGCGUGCGGAACUUCCGGUGGAGCGGUGAAAUGCGUAGAUAUCGGAAGGAACACCGGUGGCGAAAGCGGCGCGCUGGAUCUCUUCUGACGCUGAGGCGCGAAAGCCAGGGGAGCGGAACGGG